CCCUGUUAACCUGAAUGACACUGAAGACAAGUUUCUGGUAUUCAUAGAACCUGUGCCUGUGAACCCCCGUUUCUUCAUCUUCUAGCCUGGAUAUUCAUUCACCUGCUAAUUGCAAUGCUCAGCCAUUAGAGUCACCUGGGCCAAAGAUGGAACGGCGAUCUUGGGGGAGAGAGCACUUCCCACUGGAGAUGUCACAUGGAGGCCAGCCAGCUACUUGGAGGGCAUGAUGUGGGCAGCAGAUGGUGGAUGAGACCCUUCUGACAUGUAGAGGUAGGAGGGAAGGAAGCAAGGAACCCCUCAUCUACUUCCUCUCCUUCAAAGACGGAGUUUCACUCUUGGUGCCCACACUGGAGUGCAAUGGCAUGAUCUUGGCCCACUGCAACCUCUGCCUCCCGGAAUCAAGUGAUUCUCCCGCCUCAGUCUCCUGAGUAGCUGAGAUUACAGGUAUGCACAACCAUACUUGGCUAAUUUUGUAUUUUUAGUAGAGACAGGGUUUCUCCAUGUUGGUCAGGCUGGUCUCAAACUCCCAACCUCAGGUGAUCCGCCUGCCUCAGCUUCCCAAAGUGCUGGGAUUGCAGGCGUGAGCCACCACGCCUGGCUAUAUACCAUACUUUGUAAUAUUUUUUUUCCUAUGGGGAAGGUGCCCCAAAGGCAAAAGUGGCCAGGGCUUCGAAGCUUAGAAAGCAACCCCAGGCCAGCUCCCUCAUUCCUGUGGCUUUCACUCUCUGUACUCUGACUGCACGCACAUUUCCCAGACUCAUACUGUCUCCUGCCUGCCUGGCAACUGUCGCAGGCCUGUACCCCAGGCCUGCUCCUUCCAGUUCUUUCUCACCCAAGCAAAUGGCAGCACCAUCCCUCCUCGCUGCUCAGGCCAGAAACCACGUAUCCAUCACUGACCCUAACUUUCACACCCACACACAGUCCAGCAGCAAGAUCUGUCCACUUGACCUUGGAAACACCCAGAAUGUGGCCACUCCUCCGCCUCCCGGGCCUGAGCAUCCUCACAUCUCUAGAGACUGCACCACCACCCGCCACCUGACUGUCUCCCUUCUGCAGUCUGUUCUCAGCACAGCAGCUAGAGGGAUCCUUCUAACCAGGAAGGCAGGACUGUGCUCUGCUCUGCUCUGCUCAAGCUCGCUCAGCGUAAAAAGUGCAGUGCUGGCUCCCCUCCGCUCUUGGGUCCCACCUGUCUUGCUGACCUUACCUGCUGCUCUGCUUCGCCCUACUCCGGCCUCCAGGUGCCUGGCCUCCUACAUGCACGCCAUGGCAUGCCUGCUGCAGGCAUCGCUAUUCCCUCUGCCUGCAAGGCUUUCCCUCACACAGCCACGAGACAGUCCUGUCUUCCUCAUGGUCUCUGUCUGAUGUCACUUUAUUGGAGAGGCUUUUCCCAACUCCCUGAAUAAAACAGCACCCCCUGGCACUUAACCCUUAUCUGUGUGCCUUUUUCUGGACGGCCCUUAUGACCACUUGAUGCCUAUGUUCAUGUUUAUUGCGCACCUAGAAUGUCAGCUGUAGGAGAGCAGGGGUUUUGUCUGUUUUGUCCCUGCUCUAUCCUCCAUACUUGGAACACAGCAGGAGCUCAGCUAACAUAUGGAGUGAAACGACCACCCGCAGAAGCAGACAGAGCCCUGCUUUGGGUGCUGACUCGAUGUUCAACUUGAGGUGAGUCCCUGCCCCUCUUGUCUCAUCUCACAUGCCUGUGUGCCUACCUGAGAGAUGGGGGUGGGGACAGCGGCUCACAGUGUUGUGAGGUCUGUCACUGUGUUCGGCACACAGCUAGGGGCCAGCAAGUGGCAGGGCCCUUACGUGCGCUCUUUCUGUCCCUCAAGACGGGGACCUGGCUCUGCCUCCCCAGUGCCGGCACCUAGCACAGAGCCCAGCAUACAGGGGCUUAAUUUCAGGGUUGCUGGAUUUCUAAAAGAGAAGUGAGGCAUCCAGAGAGUAUAAGAGGAGUUUUUUGGGGGGUUGGGUGGGGGGCAGAAGAAGGAAGUCACCUAAAAGACAAGCAUCAAUGUGGGAAGAAGGUUUGUGUGUGUGUGUGUGUCUGUGUGAGAGAGAGCAGGGUAUGUAGGGCAGUGCCUGUACCACAUCUCUCCUCUCUUGGAUGCCUGGAACAUUCCAGCAUCUUUCAAGAUUCAGUUCAAACAAACUGCCUCCAGAAAGCUUUGGGAGGGUAUCUCUCACGCUGAACCGCUUCCCCCAGGCCCGUGCCUGUUCUCAGACUGCACAUACCCACUUACUGUCACUGUUUCCCUGUCUGCCUAUUUCAUCUCUGGUUACCCUUUGGGUCUGGAGUCGUAGGCAGGAUACCCAACAAAAAAGCUCCUGGGUGGGUCCCGAUACCCCUCUGCCUGGCAUCCCCCCGCCCUGGUUGUGAUUGGUUUUUGGUGAAUUGUUUUAUAAGGGCUAUUUCCUGACCCUGCCUGCCUCUUUGCUCUCCAGCAUCUCUCUGGGGUGGGGUUGGGAGCUUACUCUGCCUCUGUAACAGAAACAUUUGCCUGGAGCCCAGGCUGGCAUUUCUGGGGUAUGGCCAGUGGAGGGCAGCAGUGUGCCACGCCCAGCUGCCCUGUUUCGAUAGGACUGGGUUUUGCUGGCUUGCUUUCUUUUACAAAUUUAUUUAUUUUUCCUUUGCCACUUCUUCCAGGAAUAGGCUUUUCUUUAAGGCCUCACUUCUCGUUGGGUCUCACACAGAGCCUCACUCCUUUCCUAGACCCUGAUGGAAGCCAGUGUGAUCUGUAACAAUCUGGUUUUACCCAACUAAAAAAGAGGAAUCUCAGAGGAAUCCUUUGGUCUUGACAAAUUCAGUUCACCCCAGACCUCUGGCCCUUCCCUAGUGUUGCCCCGGAAGACCCAUUUGUCUUGCUUUUUCCCCCUCUCCUCAGCGGCUGCCCUAACAGCCCCCAGGUCUGCCUGAUUCUCUCCUGCUGGGACAGGCGGCCAGAGGUUGUAGAAAACUCUAGAGGAUCGGCAAACCCCUUCCCAAGCUGUCCGGCCUCAGCCUGGUUCUGCAGGGCUCCCAGGGACUCACCUGGCGGCUGGGAUCCUCCUCACGGAAGAUGAAGGGGCUGUGAAACUGUCUCUGCAAGGCUGCGUGGACCAUGAUUUUCACGGAUUUGUACUUGAGCUGUGCAAUCAGAGGCCUGGUUGGAAGCUGGCCUGGAAGCCUUUCUUCCCGUUCCCUCCCCAGGUGGAAGACAUCCCAAUAGCCACCCCCUUUUCCUUCUGGCCCAGCGCAGGGGCUCUACUUACUGCUUUUAGGGACUUCAGCCACAGAUUCCCCAGUAGAUGGAAAUUGAUUUCCUGGUUGGGGGCCAGCUGUAUAUUGCAGUUGAUGGAGACUACAUCAGAAUUGCUGUGAUUCUGAAAGAGAGGAUGGGUCUCAGGGCUGAGCUGCUGGGCUAGGGGGAGCAGGGGGAGGCAGCUCUGCUUGAACAACUGGGGCUCUGUUCCUGGGGGCAGGGACAGAGGACGGGGGAUGAGGACAGAGCUGGGAGUGGGGGACAUGUGUCCUAUGCCUGCCAGGGGAUGACUGAAAGACAAAUGAAGGAUGGCAUAGCUGAUGCUCCUUGAAGCUGUGCAUCAUGACCGGCCUGGGUAUAUUCUAGGAACAGAACUUUGGUUCAACGUUAGGGAAUCUAUAAAUGUUUCCCAUCACCAUAUAAACGCAUAAAACUAAAAAAAUUAUUUGAUCGCUGCAGCAGAUGCAGAAAAAGUAUUUUAGGAAGUCCAACUUCUGUUCAUGAUAAAAAAAAAACCUCCCAGAGAACUUCCUGAAUCCAAUAAAAGGGGUCUUCCUCAAGUUCACAUGUAUUAUGAAAAAGCUAUGCAUGGAUCCCAGAACUCUUCACCAAAGUAAACUCGUACUAACUUGUAACCUCUGCGAACAGGAUCUAGUUAGAGGCACCAAGAAGGAUAAGAUGUCAGUUUGAAAGGAUUAAAUGGAGAAGCUAACGAUGGGAAACCCAAACAAACGUUCAAACAAUUAGAAUACAUUAGGUGAAAGUUACUAGUGUAGCUGCCUUGCUGCCCACCCCAACCCCAGCUCAGCCCAAAUCUCUGGUAAAGCACACCACCCCCAUCAGUGCUUUGUGGGAGGCACUUGUUUUGGGGAAAUAAACAGCUAAGAUUGUUGCCUAGGUAAAGAACAGUGGAAGUGGGCUGAGAAUCUGGUGUCUGGAGGCAGGGGCAACCCUGAGAAUGCACACUGGAAAUGAGCAGGUGUCUUGGGAAGGCUCUGGAAAUUGAGGCUGAUCUGCAUUCCAUCUCCAGGUCAGGAGGCCCCAGCUUGAUGUGGCCAAAUAUGUGUGUAUUCUGCUUGCCUCUGGUUUCUUCCCCUUCUCUCUGCUUCUCUGUAUCCUACCAGCCUGCUUGGCCCAGGUGCAAGUCCACCAUUCCCACCCCUUUCUGCUUGUUUGCCUGACACUCCACAGGCUGUGACCCUGGCUCCUCAGGCUCUCACUGUGUGUGUGUUUCCCCCACUCCCUGUGAGAUGGGGGGACUCACAUAGGCCAACAAGUCUUUUCCUCCAGCUUUUUCUUGGCUUGGGGCUCAGUAAGCUCCUAAUUGACAAGCUAUUGGAUCAGGAGGGAAAUGGCCCCCCGGAGCAAAGGUGCUAGUGCACCUCUAACCCCAACCACUGUGGCUCUUGGUCUGGGGGACACUCACCAGCUGUGGAGCACGACUCAAGUCUUCCUCCAUUGGGGUGGGCCGGUACUCAGUGCUGUUUCCCCAGAUGUUACAGGAUGUGUUCAUCUAAAUAAAGGACACCCACACACAGCCUUACAACCA